GACGAACGCUGGCGGCGUGCUUAACACAUGCAAGUCGAACGGAAAGGCCCUGCUUUUGUGGGGUGCUCGAGUGGCGAACGGGUGAGUAACACGUGAGUAACCUGCCCUUGACUUUGGGAUAACUUCAGGAAACUGGGGCUAAUACCGGAUAGGAGCUCCUGCUGCAUGGUGGGGGUUGGAAAGUUUCGGCGGUUGGGGAUGGACUCGCGGCUUAUCAGCUUGUUGGUGGGGUAGUGGCUUACCAAGGCUUUGACGGGUAGCCGGCCUGAGAGGGUGACCGGCCACAUUGGGACUGAGAUACGGCACAGACUCCUACGGGAGGCAGCAGUGGAGAAUAUUGCACAAUGGGCGGAAGCCUGAUGCAGCAACGCCGCGUGCGGGAUGACGGCCAGCGGGUUGUAAACCGCUUUCGCCUGUGACGAAGCGUGAGUGACGGUAAUGGGUAAAGAAGCACCGGCUAACUACGUG
rnacentral:rRNA from 1 species